AAGCGCAGCUCGAUAGCUCAAGCCCUAGAGCGCAAACUGAGCGAGGUUCCGGUUAUGGACCACCAUAAUAUCCGCCAUGGUUCCGAUUCCCAGACACUCACUUCCGGAGCUAUUAAGUCCGUGAGUCGUGCGUAAACCGACCUAUAUAGUUCUAGUAUUCGUAGCCUGAUGGGAUUAGGCACCAACGCAUUUGUUCGUUCCGUUCCGUAGUCAAGAGCGGUCUCUGUCUAACUCGUCUAAAGGUGCCUAGUACAAGCGAGUCUUGAUCGAUCGCAGCGGAAUACAAAUAGGCCGUGCCUAGGAACCGACAAGCUCAUUGACGCAGAUAGCACAGGAACUAGGCACGGUUAGGAAGGUUUAACCCGCAGGUUGGAAUCCGGAAGGUCUAAAGCGUGUCUGCUUACUGAGCAUUACCACCCGCAGUAAUCCUUUAAGGUGUCAUGUGCAACCGCUUAUGACGAAACCGGUCGAUCGACAAACGCUAACUUGCUUAUACGUACGCAGUUAUAGCUGCUCACCGUACGAGCGUCUUCUACGAUUCCGCAGGGCCCAUUGAGGUGGAGCGUCUAAAUAAGCCGGUUGUCUUAUUCCUCGAGAAGCACUCAGUGAUAAAGCGGGUGACACUAGGCUAUGCGUUAUUGUUGCGCUACCAAUCUACUACCCGUAUGUAGUAAAUCGGGCUCGCCGCCUCGACAAAUUCCCGUAUCAAGAGAUAAGGGUGACACGCUGUAGUCAGCUCCGUCGACAACCUACAACGGUGAAUACAUAGGUGGCUGACUAGUUGUCACGCCCAGGUCGCUUCCUCGGUUUCGUUAUUAGAGAGGCUGCCUGUUACGGUUACACUGUCCACUUGGCGGUACUUCUUACCACCGUAACUCGAAGAUAUCCCACGCGCGUAAUACUGGCGGGAAAUAACGAGCACUAUCAGUAGACAGGGCUCAUCAUAUUGGCAGACUUACCUAGCGGAUGCGAAGACGGUCGCUCCAGUACAUGCGCGCAUCCAACUCGUGCCAUGAGAUCGCAUACUAGUUCUCCUUUGCCGCGGCGUUUCCUUGUCGUAACGUUCUAUUAGACGUGGAAGGUUAUAGAGGGCACCGUAUAAGAGUUUACCACUUCGGAGCCGUGUUCAGUUCAAGGAGGUAUAAGGCGCAAUCACCAAGCAACUCCUCACGACUUGCACUGCCAUGCUUCCGGUAUUAUGAUUUAGUGCCGGACGCAGUUGGGUAGCACAGACAGCUUAGCGGGACGAAUUAAACGGCAACAGUCCCUAUAUGUGGUGCACAAUUUCUGGCCAACCCGUAACGGAGAUCCAUGACAUGUCCGAUCAGUGUACAGCAAAUUACUAGGCAAUCCAAUCCUUCUAGCCAAGCAUCCGUCCUGUAGUAACCCGUCUACAAGCUGAGGGCAUGACGAACGUUCCGAACCCUCCUUGUCGUGAACGGGAAACAGUGAGAAGAGAUGUGUACGCCUGGUAAAUACGGAACAUACUGAAUGCGACAU
rnacentral:misc_RNA from 1 species